GAUGAACGCUAGCGGCAGGCUUAACACAUGCAAGUCGAGGGGUAUUGGUUUUCGGACCAAGAGACCGGCGCACGGGUGCGUAACGCGUAUGCAAUCUACCUUUUGCAGAGGGAUGGCCCAGAGAAAUUUGGAUUAAUACCUCAUAGUAUAGUACCUUGGCAUCAAGGAACUAUUAAAGUCACAACGGCAAAAGAUGAGCAUGCGUCCCAUUAGCUAGUUGGUAAGGUAACGGCUUACCAAGGCGACGAUGGGUAGGGGUCCUGAGAGGGAGAUCCCCCACACUGGUACUGAGACACGGACCAGACUCCUACGGGAGGCAGCAGUGAGGAAUAUUGGACAAUGGGCGCAAGCCUGAUCCAGCCAUGCCGCGUGCAGGAUGACGGUCCUAUGGAUUGUAAACUGCUUUUAUACGAGAAGAAACAACUCUACGUGUAGAGUCUUGACGGUAUCGUAAGAAUAAGGAUCGGCUAACUCCGUGCCAGCAGCCGCGGU
rnacentral:rRNA from 1 species